CAAUUUUGACUUCCAACGAUUCACUUCCUGCUAAAGAGCCCCCUGGUGGUUGAAGAAAAAUCUACCGGGCUAUGAGCCGCAUGAUUCAAAGCGUGGGGAAAAAAGUAGCGGCUUAUAGUCUGAAAAAUACGAUGUGUGUGUGUAUAUACAUAUAUAUUUGCAAAUGCUAUCACUUUUGCAGGUGUCAGAGUGUGCUGUUUGCCAGUCUGCAGGACAUAAAUAAAGGACUCCGUUGAGCACACUCCAAUAAAGGUUUCACAACCGUUUGAGCUUUUUGGAAUGGACCUAAUAGGGAAAGUGAAAACCACCGAAAGUAGAAAUCAUUACAUCUGCGUGAUGACUGAUUAUUACACCAAAUGGACACAGGCAUACCCGAUUACCUCAUAAACAGCAGAAGAGGUCACAAAACAAAUACUUAAAUUUCUUUCAAUUUGAGGUACCAAAAACUCUGAUCAAGGCACAGAGUUUGUGAAUUCGAUAAACAAGAACGUCUGUGAAAAACUUGGGAUUGAAACAAGUCUCUGCACACCGUACCAUCCACAGACAAACGGUUUGGUAGAUAGAAUGAACGGCACUAUCCAAUGGUGACUGUUACUCAUCUACAAUUAGAGUCCCAAUUUCACAAGUUUUAAUCAUAUUAUAAUGUUAAUAUUAAAAUAUUUCUUUUCAGAUCUCUGUGCAAACUUGUGGGGUCCAAACCAGAAACUUGGGACGAGUUUCUGGACACAGUAAUUGUUGGAGCUAUUUAUUCUUUAUUUCUUUAUCCAUUUGAA